rnacentral:lncRNA from 10 species
CGGCGGUCGGGGCCGCCCACGAAGGGGCUGCAUUUUUCAUCUGCAGCACGCUUUCUCUCAAGAAUCUCAAGCACACACAAGAAACCAGAGAGUAAAAUCACUGAGGCGUGAACACAUCCAGAGACCAAGGGCGUCACUGGCAGAAAAGCUUUUAGGCGGAUCCACGGCCCGAGAGCCACCCUGCCCAGAGACGCGGUUUCCUAGGAGCAGUUCACACGCGGCUCUGCAGCACCCACAAGCGGGGCCAGGGGCUGGUUUUCAUAGUUCACAGUCUGCAGGGAUCUUAACAAAAACAUGGCCGUGGUAAAAGUGCCUAGACCAGGCUUUCGUCACAACUCAGUGAGUAGGAAGACUAGUUAGGCUGAUGAAAAGCUCUGAUGAUGUGUGAUUAAAAGUAGGAAAACGUGGUUGCCAAAUAAAAUAUUUUACUAUAUAGUCAGGGGGAGAGAUGGGGAUAAAAAAAUGUGGAAACCAUUUAUUUUAAAAUUUUGACUGUUCCUGCAGUGUUUAAAAUAUAGGAGAUAUAUUCUGAUUAUCUUUAGAAAGAAACUGCUCUCAAUCUAUUUGUAUGUCUUCCCUCUGGUUUUAAAAUAUUAAACAAUCAUCUAACUCAAUAUUUAAUUUUACCUCUAGUCAUGUUACUAGGUUAGGAUAAUAAAAAGGACUGUGAACUUCACAUCUGCCAUCUAUAAUAGAUUCUUAUUGUAGCAAUCUUGCACCAAGGGGAUUUCUUUAUUAACUCUGCCAAAUUUUCCAAAAUUACCAAAUGGAGAAAAGAGCUGGUCCCAUCUGUCACCAGGCACAACCAGUUUGGAACCAAAACUGCAGUGUCCCCAAGGCAUGCCUGUAGGUAAACAUGAGUCCAUACUGAUAAAUGAUCGAAUAAACAGGAGAGAAGAAACAAAUCUUCAAGAAGAAUAACAUGCACAGAUACUGCUCUCUCCAGGGGUUGGAGCUGAAACCUCCUCAACCCACAGAGUAUGGAAAGGGAAAAACAGGAACUUGACAGUGGAGAAAUCUGGCAGACACCACUGUGACCAGGUGGCCAAGGUCAGCACUGCCUGGGAUAGGUCGUGUGGUGGUUACAACCACCCAGUAGGAUGUGAUGAGAAAGGUGCUUGAGAAACACAUCAAACUCCAAUUGAGGGACAUUCUACAGACUACCUGGCCAGUACUCCUCAAAACUGUCAAGGUCAUGAGAAACAAGGGAAGUCUGAGAAACUGUCACAGGCAAGAGAACGCAAAGGAGAUGGGAUGACUAAAUGCAGUAUGUGCCUGGAUGGGACUCUGGGACAGAAAGCAGACAUUACGGAAAAACUGGUGAAAUCCAAAUCAAGGCUGGAUUUUAGUGAAUGGACACUAACAAUGUUGGUUUCUUAGUCAUGACAAAUGUACCAUGGGAAGAGAAGAGGUUACCAAUGGGGGAAACUAGGUGAGGGGCACACAUAAGCUCUCUGUACUAUCUCUGCCAUUUUUCUGUAAAUCAAAAAUUAGUCCAAAAUAAAAGUUUAUUGGAAAAGAAAAAAAAAGACAUAACAGAUGG